rnacentral:rRNA from 1 species
AGCUCCAAUAGCGUAUAUUAAAGUUGUUGCGGUUAAAAAGCUCGUAGUUGGAUCUCAGUGUUAGACGAUCGGUCCGCCGCCCGGCGCGACUGAUCGUACUGCACCGUCCGCCGUUGCAGUCUCCAGUGCUCUUCAUUGAGUGUUGGACGAUUGCCGGUACGUUUACUUUGAAAAAAUUAGAGUGCUUCAAGCAGGCGUUUCCGCCUGAAUAUCUGUGCAUGGAAUAAUGGAAUAGGACCUCGGUUCUAUUUUGUUGGUUUUCGGGACUCGAGGUAAUGAUUAAUAGGGACAGACGGGGGCAUUCGUAUGGCGACGCUAGAGGUGAAAUUCUUGGACCGUCGCCAGACGAACUACUGCGAAAGCAUUUGCCAAGAAUGUUUUCA